rnacentral:rRNA from 1 species
AGCGAACGUUUGCGGCGGGCUUAACACAUGCAAGUCGAGCGGGCUGUUCCUUCGGGGGCAGUCAGUGGCGCACGGGUGCGUAACACGUAGGUAAUCAACCCUCUGGUUGGGGAUAACACUUCGAAAGGAGUGCUAAUACCCGGUAUGGCGCAGCGGUCUUCGGAUCGCGGCGAGAAAGACCCGCAAGGGUUGCCAGAGGACGAGCCUGCGGCCCAUCAGCUAGUUGGCGAGGUAACGGCUCACCAAGGCGAAGACGGGUAGCUGGUCUGAGAGGAUGAUCAGCCACACUGGAACUGAGACACGGUCCAGACUCCUACGGGAGGCAGCAGUGGGGAAUAUUGCGCAAUGGGCGAAAGCCUGACGCAGCCACGCCGCGUGAGCGAUGAAGGCCU